AACGUAGGUACCGAGCGUUAUCCGGAUUCACUGGGCGUAAAGCGCGUGCAGGUGGUUUGGUAAGUCGGGCAUGAAAACUCUUGGCUCAACUGAGAGAAGCUGUUCGAUACUGCCGGACUGGAGGGUGUGAGAGGGAGGUGGAAUUCCGCGUGUAGUGGUGAAAUGCGUAGAUAUGCGGAGGAACACCAGUGGCGAAGGCGGCCUCCUGGCACACUCCUGACACUCAGACGCGAAAGCUAGGGGAGCGAACGGGAUUAGAAACCCCUGUAGU
rnacentral:rRNA from 1 species